rnacentral:rRNA from 1 species
UGGGGAAUAUUGGACAAUGGGCGCAAGCCUGAUCCAGCCAUGCCGCGUGUGUGAAGAAGGCCUUAUGGUUGUAAAGCACUUUAAGCGAGGAGGAGGCUACUUUAGUUAAUACCUAGAGAUAGUGGACGUUACUCGCAGAAUAAGCACCGGCUAACUCUGUGCCAGCAGCCGCGGUAAUACAGAGGGUGCGAGCGUUAAUCGGAUUUACUGGGCGUAAAGCGUGCGUAGGCGGCUAAUUGAGUCGGAUGUGAAAUCCCCGAGCUUAACUUGGGAAUUGCAUUCGAUACUGGUUAGCUAGAGUGUGGGAGAGGAUGGUAGAAUUCCAGGUGUAGCGGAGAAAUGCGUAGAGAUCUGGAGGAAUACCGAUGGCGAAGGCAGCCAUCUGGCCUAACACUGACGCUGAGGUACGAAAGCAUGGGGAGCAAACAGG